GUCCCACCUGAUCCCAUGCCGAACUCAGAAGUGAAACGCCGUAGCGCCGAUGGUAGUGUGGGGUCUCCCCAUGCGAGAGUAGGACACUGCCAGGCA
rnacentral:rRNA from 1 species